GUGGGGAAUCUUCCGCAAUGGACGAAAGUCUGACGGAGCGACGCCGCGUGAGUGAAGAAGGCCUUCGGGUCGUAAAGCUCUGUCAUCGGGGACGAAUGGUCGAUGGAGUGGAAAGCCAUUGAAAUGACGGUACCCGAGAAGGAAGCCACGGCUAACUACGUGCCAGCAGCCGCGGUAAUACGUAGGUGGCAAGCGUUGUCCGGAAUUAUUGGGCGUAAAGCGCGCGCAGGUGGGAUCUUAAGUCUAUUUUGAAAGUUCGGAGCUUAACUCCGUGAUGGGAUAGAAACUGGGAUUCUUGAGUACCGGAGAGGAAAGCGGAAUUCCCCGUGUAGCGGGGAAAUGCGUAGAUAUGGGGAGGAACACCAGUGGCGAAGGCGGCUUUCUGGACGGUGUCUGACACUGAGGCGCGAAAGCCAGGGGAGCGAACGGGAUUAGAAACCCUGGUAGUCC
rnacentral:rRNA from 1 species